CCCCCCCCCCCCCCCCCCCCCCGCACCAUGGCGGCGGCAGCUCAGCGACGAAUCAAGGUGGUGCUCCUGCAGAUCUAGCUGGACGUCCAUGGAGGCGGCGAUGACAACAACUUCAGGUCACCUCCCCUCUACCCUCCCUCCCUCUACAGAGAUCUGCUCUCUCUCCUCUCCCCAGCAAAGGGCUUCGUGUGGGGACACGGCGACGGCGCUCCUCCAUGAAGGCAUGAAAACGGCCACCACAAUGGUACCACAACCGAAGACGCUUCAGCUCUGAAAAAACUGGAAGAGUCUCUGGAAUCAGAUGCUGGAAAGAAAUAUAAUUCAGGAGAUAAAAUAACAAGUGGUUCUAAAUGGACGAGAACAAACCAGAAGUGAAGCAAUAGAUUAGCUUUAGUUCUGAAGUAUUGAUGUCGCAUCCAUUUGCUACAUAGAUUUGGUACAAAAAUAUAUUGGGUUGGAGCUAGCAGACUGUCAUCUUGCUUCAGUUCAACUUCAAGGUGAACUUCAGUUGACCUUUAGUUUACUUCCUCGGAGUUAGUAUACAAGGAGUUAUAUAUAAUUUAAAGCAAUAGUAUGAAGCUCUCGUUAGAUCUGGAAGGAUGUAUAUUUAGUGGAGUUCUCAUUUAUUCAUCUUAUUUCAAUAGCUUAUUGGAUGCCAAUCUGAUAUGUAUGUACAAAUAAUUAUUGUGGACAUGUAUAUGGAAGUACCAGACUUUGCAGGAGCUGAGAUUGAGAAAUGAGAAAUUGUAAUUACAUAUGCUGCA